rnacentral:snRNA from 1 species
UAUUCUUCUUAGCCUUCUGGCUAUGAUUGUAAUGUCUGUUCUUGCCUGCUUCAUAGCUCAUAGGUCUUUGCUGUGAGGACUUGCUAUUAAAUAGAUUUGUGGAGCUUGGCUAUGGCCUGUGGCCUUGCCUUGUCUUCCCUGUGCACUGAAACCCUUCCGUGACCCAUCACAGUAGAGUACAGUAGGGGAGAACAAGG